CACUCCUACGGGAGGCAGCAGUGGGGAAUAUUGGACAAUGGGGGAACCCUGAUCCAGCCAUGCCGCGUGUGUGAAGAAGGCCUUAUGGUUGUAAAGCACUUUAAGCGAGGAGGAGGCUACUAGUAUUAAUACUACUGGAUAGUGGACGUUACUCGCAGAAUAAGCACCGGCUAACUCUGUGCCAGCAGCCGCGGUAAUACAGAGGGUGCGAGCGUUAAUCGGAUUUACUGGGCGUAAAGCGUGCGUAGGCGGCCAUUUAAGUCAAAUGUGAAAU
rnacentral:rRNA from 1 species